rnacentral:rRNA from 1 species
GAUGAACGCUGGCGGCGUGCCUAACACAUGCAAGUCGAGCGAUUCUCUUCGGAGAAGAGCGGCGGACGGGUGAGUAACGCGUGGGUAACCUGCCCUGUACACACGGAUAACAUACCGAAAGGUAUGCUAAUACGAGAUAAUAUACUUUUAUCGCAUGGUAGAAGUAUCAAAGCUUUUGCGGUACAGGAUGGACCCGCGUCUGAUUAGCUAGUUGGUAAGGUAACGGCUUACCAAGGCGACGAUCAGUAGCCGACCUGAGAGGGUGAUCGGCCACAUUGGAACUGAGACACGGUCCAAACUCCUACGGGAGGCAGCAGUGGGGAAUAUUGCACAAUGGGCGAAAGCCUGAUGCAGCAACGCCGCGUGAGCGAUGAAGGCCUUCGGUCGUAAAGCUCUGUCCUCAAGGAAGAUAAUGACGGUACUUGAGGAGGAAGCCCCGGCUAACUACGUG